UAAGUAGUAGUUUAUUAAAAACGUUAAGUUGCAAGCUUAAUUAAGGUCAAGCCCUACUUUU
rnacentral:tRNA from 1 species